UCUUGGAUCUCAUCUCCAAUCUCCUCUCCGAUAUUAUCUUCAAGGUCGAGCUACUCUCGUUGGUUCGAUCUUUCGUACUGGAGAUCGAAAGACCCCUCGAUUUCAGGUCUUAUGCGGGGACUGGAAACCCUAGCAGUCGUUUUGUUUUUGGGCCGAGAAGUCUGCAAAACCCUAUCUCAGUUCAACUGGUUGCUUAGAGAUUAUCUAAAGGCUCAAUGCUGAGGGUUGGAUCAACCAAUCUCUUCUCAUGAUCUCUGACCAAAUCAGGAGAUUCAAUCUUUGCUAUUGGAGAACGGAAGGAGAACUU